UUGACGGUACCCUACUAGAAAGGAGCCGCUAACUUCGUGCCAGAAGCGUCGGUAAUACGGGGGCUCCAAGCGUUAUCCGGUGUUAUUGGGCGUAAAGAGUCGUGUAGGUGGUUGGGUAAGUUAUCUUUCAAAUAUCUUUGCUUAACAAAGAGGAGGGGGAUAAUACUGCUCGACUAGAAUUUUCUCAAGGGAGGUCGGAACUGAGGGAGGAGUAGUGAAAUGCGUUGAUACCCUCGGGAACACCAGUGGCGUAGGCGGAUCUCUGGGAGAAGAUUGACACUGAGACACGAAAGCUAGGGGAGCGAAGCAGAUUAGAGACCUGCGUAGUCCUAGCCGUAAACGCAUGCUUGCUAGCUGCAUGAAUCUACCUUCGGGUGGUAUCGUGUGGCGAAGGUAACCCGUUAAGCAAGCCGCCUGGAAAGUACGGCCGCAAGGCUGAAAUUCAAAGGAAUUGGCGGGGAGGCACACAACCAGUGGAACAUGUGGUUUAAUUCGAGACUAACCGAAGAACCUCACCAGGGUUUGACAUGUAGCUGCACGUCUUAAGAAAUUAAGACUCUCUUGAAGGUGCUACACAGGUGCUGCAUGGCUGUCGUCAGCUCGUUCCGUGAGGAGUGCCCUUAAGUGGGACAACGAGCGCAACCCCUAUUACAUGUUAGAAAUGUCAUGUAAGACUGCCUUGCCAUUUGGCGGGGAGGAAGGAGGGGCAGACGUCAAGUCCGCAUGGUCCUUAUGCCCUGGGCUACACACAUGUUACAAUGAGUACGGCAAUGAGUCUGUCGCGAGCACGUAAGUGUAAGCUAAUCUCUUAAAUGUACUCUCAGUGGGGAUUGAGGUCUGCAACUCGACCUCAUGAACACGGAAUUGGUAGUAAUCGCGGGUCAGCUAUACCGCGGUGAUACGUUCUUGCCUCUUGCACACACCGCCCGUCAAACCAGCAAAGU
rnacentral:rRNA from 1 species